GACGAACGCUGGCGGCGUGCUUAACACAUGCAAGUCGAACGAAGUGGCGAACGGGUGAGUAACGCGUAAUCAAACUGCCCUUCCGAGGGGGACAACAGUUGGAAACGACUACUAAUACCGCAUACUGAAGGACGGGAUUGUGUCUGAUUAGCUAGUUGGAGGGGUAACGGCCCACCAAGGCGACGAGAAGUAGCCGGUCUGAGGGGGUGAACGGCCACAUUGGGACGGAGACACGGCCCAGACUCCUACGGGAGGCAGCAGUAGGGAAGCUUCCGCAAUGGACGAAAGUCUGACGGAGCAACGCCGCGUGAGUGAUGACGGCCUUCGGGUUGUAAAGCUCUGUUAAUCGGGACGCGGUACCGGAAUAGAAAGCCACGGCUAACUACGUGCCAGCAGCCGCGGUAAUUC
rnacentral:rRNA from 1 species